rnacentral:lncRNA from 1 species
GCCAGACUGCCCCGAGGAGGAGCCGCACGUUUGGGGUUCCAACCUGAGGCCACCUGAGUUGAGCUGCCGGAGAGCUUCCCUGAGGCCGUUCCAGGGCUCCACACCAAUCACAGCGAGGCCAAGGCCAUAAAGAGCAGAAGCAGGAUCGUGCCCGGAGAACCCGCGUGUGGCAAAAUGGAGGAAGGUGGUCCCAGCGGUUUCCCCUGCUGGUUCCUGCGCCCAGUCGGGAGUCAGGAGGAAGAAUCACAAGGGACGCUCGCUCGCUCAGCCUUUGCUCAGAUAUUGCCAGUGGAAUCGAGUCCUCAGGCUUGAUGUAACUCUGUCGUCCCCAGUUCCAGAUCUUUCUCUUUUGUUUCCUUCAAUCAAAUAUUCCUUGGGAAGACAGACAUCAUCAGUAACGACGAGGCCCAUGGCGUUGAGAUGGGUCAGGAGCAAAGGCAACCCAUGCAGGGUAUGAACCGAACUCUGAUAUAAACAGGGC